GACGAACGCUGGCGGCGUGCCUAAUACAUGCAAGUCGAGCGAGCUUGCCUAGAUGAAUUUGGUGCUUGCACCAAAUGAAACUAGAUACAAGCGAGCGGCGGACGGGUGAGUAACACGUGGGUAACCUGCCCAAGAGACUGGGAUAACACCUGGAAACAGAUGCUAAUACCGGAUAACAACACUAGACGCAUGUCUAGAGUUUAAAAGAUGGUUCUGCUAUCACUCUUGGAUGGACCUGCGGUGCAUUAGCUAGUUGGUAAGGUAACGGCUUACCAAGGCAAUGAUGCAUAGCCGAGUUGAGAGACUGAUCGGCCACAUUGGGACUGAGACACGGCCCAAACUCCUACGGGAGGCAGCAGUAGGGAAUCUUCCACAAUGGACGCAAGUCUGAUGGAGCAACGCCGCGUGAGUGAAGAAGGGUUUCGGCUCGUAAAGCUCUGUUGGUAGUGAAGAAAGAUAGAGGUAGUAACUGGCCUUUAUUUGACGGUAAUUACUUAGAAAGUCACGGCUAACUACGUGCCAGCAGCCGCGGUAAUACGUAGGUGGCAAGCGUUGUCCGGAUUUAUUGGGCGUAAAGCGAGUGCAGGCGGUUCAAUAAGUCUGAUGUGAAAGCCUUCGGCUCAACCGGGGAAUUGCAUCAGAAACUGUUGAACUUGAGUGCAGAAGAGGAGAGUGGAACUCCAUGUGUAGCGGUGGAAUGCGUAGAUAUAUGGAAGAACACCAGUGGCGAAGGCGGCUCUCUGGUCUGCAACUGACGCUGAGGCUCGAAAGCAUGGGUAGCGAACAGG
rnacentral:rRNA from 1 species